UACGGGGGGGGCAAGCGUUGUUCGGAAUUACUGGGCGUAAAGCGCGUGUAGGCGGCCCUGUAAGUCCGUUGUGAAAGUCAAAGGCUCAACCUUUGAAAGCCGAUGGAUACUGCAGGGCUAGAGUCCGGAAGAGGCGAGUGGAAUUCCUGGUGUAGCGGUGGAAUGCGCAGAUAUCAGGAGGAACACCAAUAGCGAAGGCAGCUCGCUGGGACGGUACUGACGCUAAGGCGCGAAAGCGUGGGGAGCGAACAGG
rnacentral:rRNA from 1 species